GCUGCCCCGUGCCAGCAGUGCUGAAGUGAGCAGUGAGUCACAAACCAGCUGUGCCCCAGGUGAGCCCUCCCCGGGAAUCCUUCCUUACCAGGGUGGGAUCAGCUGAGCUGGAAUAUCUCUGCAGGAAGAGAAACACUUCUGAAAAGGGACUGGCAGGUGACUGUUCUAAUGAGUUUUUGUCAGACAGGAGUCUCCAGGCAAGUCUUGCCAGACCUGAGCACCUUCCUCCCCAGGGACCUGCUCAUCUUAUCCCAGAGGUGAAAUGGGAAGAAGAGACCCGGGGCUGGCUCUACACCCUGGCAGCCACCAGUGGGCUAAGGCCCUGUGGGCAGGGCAGAGCUCAUCCAGGAGAGACCCCAGAGAGCCACAGCCAGGGCAGAGCUCAUCCAGGAGAGACCCCAGAGAGCCACAGCCAGGGCAGAGCUCAUCCAGGAGAGACCCCAGAGAGCCACAGCCAGAGCAGAGCUCAUCCAGGAGAGACCCUGGAGAGCCACAGCCAGGGCAGAGCUCAUCCAGGAGAGACCCCAAGGAGCCACAACCAGGGCAGAGCUCGUGGUAGUUGCAGCCAUCCCAGGUAGUGGGACCACAUCCAGCCUGAGACCUGCCACCCUGGACACUGGGAUCCACAUCCAUCCAUGGCACUGGGACCACAGUCACCCUGGACAAGGGGAUCCAGCCCACCCUGGGCACUCUGAGGGUCUCUGUGUGCUGACAUGGGAGCACAAACUCGGGGUCCAGGCUCCAGGGUGGGCUGUGCACUUGUGAGGAGGAGGGGAAAGGAAACACUCACAGACAAACGUGGCCCCAGCCGUGCAAGGAGACACUGAGCUGCUGCUGGGGACAACAGCUGGUACCUGCUGACCUUUCCCAAGCUGUGCCUCCCACCCUGGCAAAUCACUCUCUCUGUGCUGCCAAAACAACCAUCAAUUAAAAAUGCAUUACCACA